AUAUGAUCCAGUAAUUCAUUAUCGAGCAAUGCCAAGAAAUAAUGACACAGCCCCGCGCCAAUCUUCAAAUGUCAAGCGGGAAAAAUCAUGAUUACCGAUACGAUCGCCGUCUCUCUGGACGGAACAAUAUCAUCAUUCAUGUACGAUCACCGUAAGCCAAGAAGGGUUAAGAUAGUUUGUCAGGUUUUGAGGACAUUUUAACACAAUUUGACAUCUCCUCCUCCUCCUCCUCCUCCUCCUCCUCCUGUGCUAAUACAAUUACUAUUAUUACUAUCCCAGUGUGACCUGACCUGUGUGACCUCUGACCUUUGCCACAGGAUUCCCUGGAAUGUGACUUCACUGUGACCCGAGAGGAGGUACCUCGGCCACUCAACGCUGAGGUCACACGGCUCUCUUCCUUAUGCAGGAAAGUCAAGUCCCUGAAUGCUGCCAAGGAGAGACACUGCU